rnacentral:tRNA from 1 species
GCCCCCAUCGUCUAACGGUUAGGACACCAGACUUUCAAUCUGACAACGAGAGUUCGACUCCUCUCUGGGGGUA